UACGUAGGUGGCAAGCGUUGUCCGGAUUUACUGGGCGUAAAGAGCGCGCAGGCGGUCAGAUAAGUCGAAUGUGAAAGCCCCCGGCUCAACUGGGGAGGGUCAUUCGAUACUGUUCGCCUCGAAGGCAGGAGAGGGAAGCGGAAUUCCCGGUGUAGUGGUGAAAUGCGUAGAUAUCCGGAGGAACAUCAGUGGCGAAGGCGGCUUCCUGGCCUAAGACUGACGCUGAGGUGCGAAAGCGUGGGGAGCAAACAGG
rnacentral:rRNA from 1 species